UACAGAGGGUGCGAGCGUUGUUCGGAAUCAUUGGGCGUAAAGCGCUUGUAGGCGGCCUGUCAAGUCGCGUGUGAAAUCCCCUGGCUUAACCAGGGAAGUGCGCGCGAAACUGGCGGGCUUGAGUGCCGGAGAGGGUCGCGGAAUUCCCGGUGUAGAGGUGAAAUUCGUAGAUAUCGGGAGGAACGCCAGUGGCGAAGGCGGCGACCUGGACGGACACUGACGCUGAUGUGCGAAAGCGUGGGGAGCAAACAGG
rnacentral:rRNA from 1 species